ensembl:lncRNA
GAGGGGUCUGUAGGGGUCUAGUGUUAUAUAGAGGGGUCUGUAGGGGUCUAGUGUUAUAUAGAGGAGUCUGUCUGUAUUGGUAUAUAGAGAGAUCUGUAGUGUUAUAUAGAGAGGUCUGUCUAGUGUUAUAUAGAGGUCUGUAGUGUUAUAUAGAGAGGUCUGUCUGUAGUGUUAUAUAGAGAGGUCUGUCUGUAGUGUUAUAUAGAGAGGUCUGUCUGUAGUGUUAUAUAGAGAGGUCUGUAGUGUUAUAUAGAGAGAUCUGUAGUGUUUAUUUGGAGGGGUCUGUAUAUAGAGUUAUGCCUCUAGAGUUAUCUAGAUAGGUAGUGUUACCUAGAGAGGUCAUGAUGGAGAGAGACACCAGAUAAGCAACAGAAUAAUAGGAUAUGAUGGAGAGAGACCAGAAGAACAGAACAUGUCAUAACAGAAGACAGUAACAGACAAGACUAGAGACGGCGGCAGACAAGAGGGUAGAUGGAGAGAGAACAGAGGUGGGUUGAGCACACAGUAGACUGUAUCACUUCAAGCUGCUCUACAAAUUAAACUUUUGUUAAAUUUAUUUGCACAAAUUAUAGCAGAUGAAAUACAGACAGUGAAGAAGUAAAA